rnacentral:tRNA from 1 species
UAGAAGGAAGCUUGCUGGAUGGAGCGUUUAGCUGUUGACUAAGUUAUUGCGGGAUCAAGGCCCGUCUUUCUAG